rnacentral:rRNA from 1 species
CCUACGGGAGGCAGCAGUGGGGAAUAUUGCACAAUGGGGGAAACCCUGAUGCAGCGACGCCGCGUGAGUGAGGAAGUAUUUCGGUAUGUAAAGCUCUAUCAGCAGGGAAGAAAAUGACGGUACCUGACUAAGAAGCCCCGGCUAACUACGUGCCAGCAGCCGCGGUAAUACGUAGGGGGCAAGCGUUAUCCGGAUUUACUGGGUGUAAAGGGAGCGUAGACGGCUAAUCAAGUCAGAAGUGAAAACCAAGGGCUCAACUU